rnacentral:rRNA from 1 species
UACGUAGGGUGCAAGCGUUGUCCGGAAUUAUUGGGCGUAAAGAGCUCGUAGGCGGUCUGUCGCGUCUGCUGUGAAAACCCGGGGCUCAACUCCGGGCUUGCAUUCGAUACGGGCAGGCUAGAGUUCGGUAGGGGAGUCUGGAAUUCCUGGUGUAGCGGUGAAAUGCGCAGAUAUCAGGAGGAACACCGGUGGCGAAGGCGGGUCUCUGGGCAACUACUGACGCUGAGGAGCGAAAGCGUGGGGAGCGAACAGG